rnacentral:rRNA from 1 species
UACAGAGGUCUCAAGCGUUGUUCGGAUUCAUUGGGCGUAAAGGGCGCGUAGGCUGCGGGGCAAGUCGGGUGUGAAUCUCAGAGCUCAACUCUGAAACUGCACUCGAUACUGCUUGCUUGAGGACUGGAGAGGAGAUUGGAAUUCACGGUGAGCAGUGAAAUGCGUAGAUAUCGUGAGGAAGACCAGUGGCGAAGGCGGAUCUCUGGACGAGU